rnacentral:rRNA from 1 species
CAAUGGGSGCAACCCUGAUCCAGCRAUGCCGCGUGAGUGAUGAAGGCCUUCGGGUUGUAAAGCUCUUUUAUYGGGGACGAUGAUGACGGUMCCCGAUG